rnacentral:lncRNA from 1 species
GCCCGGCGGUUUCCCAUAAACCUCAAAACCACCCAGCGGUGUAAGUUGUCGCUCGAAGGUUUCCCUCAAAACCGCCCAACGCCAACGCCAUUGCCUACUCCUCGCCCUGGACCGCCCGAUAGUGUAAGUUGCCGCAGGGCAGUGCGUCGACUCUUAAAAUCUUCAAUUUUCUUCUCUUUUCUUGAGUCUACGACCUUUAUCUUCAACUCCAUUCUUUACUUUCUCCAACUAGCUACAAAACAAUGCAAAACAAGCAUAAUAUCGCUAUAAACAACUUUUGACUCUCUA